GUUUUUCCCCUUAUAUUGAAAAUUGCAUUAACUAGAGAAGAAGUGGAGGAAAUGAAAUCAACAAUCCUCCAUGCGGGCAUCUGUGCAUCUAACAAAUGGCAAAAGAUAGAAUAACUGCGAAAUUGUGGUUGGAAUUGAAGGAAAAUUCUUACUACAUUUGGAUGUUUAUACAUCCUGCCUUGAGAAUGAUUUUAGCGAGGGUUGGGAAGUCAAGUCUUUUCGAAAAGUUCUGCCAGCUUUUUUUCUGCAGGAUCCAAACAAGAAAGUAUAUUUUGCAGGUCAAUUCCAGCUAGCUGUUGCUGUAUUUCUUUUCGUCCAAAAUAGAUCCCCGGUUCCCGAUUAAAAUUUUCUUCUUCUUUCUCAAUCUCUUCUUCCAUGACAUCUUCCGGGUGUCCCCUAUCCCUUUAUAUGCCCUAAUUUAGAGCUUUCUUUUGGGUUGUUGGCACUUGUUAUAAUCAUCAAGAAUACAUGACAACGCAGAGCGAGAAUCUAUAGAUAUUUCCUUUUAGUGUUUUUGCAGAAAGCAUAUCUUCCUCUUUCUAUCACAAUUAAAAAAAUAAUCCAUUGGUUAAUCAUUGAACCCAAGUUAUUAUUAAACGUAGUCACUAAAGGGUAUUUCAACAGUCAAGAUUUAGGUUAAUUUGGUAUGAAAACUGUAGAGAAAAUUGACUAACUCUGCCUAAAAAUUAAUUUAGGGGUUUACCAAGCUUUAUAUUUAGCAUAAACACAUAUCACAAACCAAUGCAGAACAAAAACAUUAAUAAAUAUAAACGAUAAUUUGCUAUUUUUGGAAUUUAAGACUAUAGUUACAAAUUGGAGAAAAUUUUUAUAGUCUUUGAUUAAUUUGUUUUUAUAAGCAAGCAAGAAAUUUUAUUAUUAAAAGAAAAAAAAAAAUAACAAGAAAAAAGGAGAAAGAUUCAAAUGACCCUUGCCAACAAAAGCAGGCAAAACAAAGACACCCA
rnacentral:misc_RNA from 1 species